GGCGGCAGGCCUAAGACAUGCAAGUCGAGCGAGAAAGUACUUCGGUACGAGUACAGCGGCGGACGGGUGAGUAACGCGUAGGAAUCUACCUAGUAGUGGGGGACAACUCGUGGAAACGCGAGCUAAUACCGCAUACGCCCUACGGGGGAAAGCGGGGGAUCUUCGGACCUCGUGCUAUUAGAUGAGCCUGCGUAAGAUUAGCUAGUUGGUGGGGUAAAGGCCUACCAAGGCGACGAUCUUUAGCUGGUCUGAGAGGAUGAUCAGCCAUACCGGGACUGAGACACGGCCCGGACUCCUACGGGAGGCAGCAGUCGGGAAUAUUGCGCAAUGGGCGAAAGCCUGACGCAGCCAUGCCGCGUGUGUGAAGAAGGCCCUAGGGUUGUAAAGCACUUUCAAUUGGGAGGAAAAGCUAAUGGUUAAUAGCCAUUAGCCCUGACGUUACCUUUAGAAGAAGCACCGGCUAACUCCGUGCCAGCAGCCGCGGUAAUACGGAGGGUGCAAGCGUUAAUCGGAAUUACUGGGCGUAAAGCGCGCGUAGGCGGCUCUUUAAGUCGGAUGUGAAAGCCCCGGGCUCAACCUGGGAACUGCAUCCGAUACUGGGGAGCUAGAGUGUAGGAGAGGGA
rnacentral:rRNA from 1 species